GCUGAAGCUCCCAGUCACUUUGGAAAUUCAAUGGUUCUGAGAUAGGGCCCGGCCUCUAUGAGUUGGCUUUGGUUUUGUAAAGGUCCUCCAGAUAAUUCUAAUGCAGUUCAUGGAAACAUGGCUUUCAGGGCCUAGCCCUCAAGUGAUAACAUCUGUGAUCUGGGGCCAAAUUAGUGUGAGCCCUUUGGCAAGUCACUUCCCUUCUGGGGGCCUCUGGUCUCAUCUCUGUACCGAGAGCAUUGCUCUGUGUCUCAUCUCUAAAAGGUAAACUCCACUCUGGCAGUCUUGUGCUGGGGGGAGGCAAAGACAGAAAGGCUUGGUGUUGCCUCUGGGCACUGCCAGCAGCCUCUGAUGGCACAGGGGGAAGUAUUAAGGUGCAGCAGGGCAAGGAGAAUUGAGUGAAUAAAGGACGGUGCCCCACACCCUAAGAGCUGUGGAAGGAAGAGGGGGAAAUGGAAAAUUCGAGGCUGGAGUAGCCUGAAAUUCCUCCCAGGUGGAACUCGAUUUCCAGAAUGGUAGGAUUUGGGUCUUAGGUGCAAAGGGCAAUGGAUCUCAGGUAGGAGGUGGAAAGAAGCAAAGGUGUGGAAACCCGGAGAGGUGUGGUAAUCUCAGGGAAGGGAGGGGAUCCCUCCAGAUGAAGCACCAGAGGUCAGCGUGGGAAGUGGAGCCAUUACCGAAACUCCGUGGGGAGCACAGAUUUUAUCCUGGGGGCAACGGAGAGCCAUUGAAGGCUUUGGAUCCACACACGCCACUGGGACUUCCAGGAGCGGGGAUGCUGCCGGGUUGCAGGCAGGGAUCCAUGCAGAGAAGUGGGGAGCAGUGUGAGGCCACAGUUCUGCUGCGGGAACAUCCCUGCCUGUGCUGACGCCAUGGAAAGCCUCCCCUUGUUGCAGGGUUCCUGUUUUGCGGUUGCCCGUGGUGGGGAGCGAGGGCAGCCGGCUGUUCUUCUGAGAAGCUCCGGGAACUUGGUGGCACUUGGCCAGACCUCCUCUUCGCGUCCUCAGCUCUGUCCUGGG